GAGCCACCCACGUCAAUUACAGAUAAAAACAAUCCUUGCUCUAUUUCACCGUUACAUUAACAACUGGUGUCAUCAAGGUGUUGACCAGAUGUGUUUGAUAAGGGUUGGAACUAAGCUUUGCAUGACUAAAGACCUUCGUUAUAAAUACUGCACUGUAUGAAGCAGGUGAGGAGAAGCAAGCAAGGGGUUAGAGGUGAU